AGUUUGGCCAAGGCCAGCGACUUCUAAAUAUUGGGUCAAAGACACUUCCUGUGUAUUUCCAUCUAAUCCCCUCACACAGCUGUGCCAAACUCAUCAGCGGGCCAGACUAGAGCUCCGCUGCCCAGGGUGCGGAUGUCUCCCUCCAUCAGCUGAAAAAUGAAUCAGCCCCAUUUAGGCAGCACAAUGCAGAUGUUUGCGUUGUCUUCACUGCACUUCUUAGUCAUUAUGGAUCAGAGGGCUCUCGGGCUGCUGCUGGAAACAGCCGUGCUGUGUGGAAGCAGUCCUAUCACAGGCUGUCACAACUUUGACACACUUUGAGAAAAAGCUCUGCGUUUGGGUCUCAAGAUGAUGCACAUGUUCUCUCUGUGAUAAUAACUAUGUAAUAGAUGUGUAAUAGACAUCGUUUGCUGUAAAAUGCAUUUCAUUCUGAAUGAUGGCGUUACGUUAUAUCCUCAAGCUAUAAACACAAAACACGUCAUGUAAGACUGACAGCUAGAACAAAAUUGUGUUUGAUCGGGAAGUUCGUAUUAGAGACCGUGCUCAUAUUUUAUCCAUUCUUAAUGUAUGCCGUUGCUCCUGUCCACCUGCAGUAGACCAAAUGUCCUUUCAUUAAAUAUUCAUACAGAUGAUGUCUGUAAUGAUUUCCUGUCACCUUGCGUCUGUGCAGUUCAUAGUUUCACUCCAUUUUCCUGUUUGUCACAUGCUAUUGAAGUCAGCUAGCAUGAAAUGGGAAUGGCUUUUAACUCUGUACUUGCAGAAGUUUAAAAUCAAUGCUGUCACAUACAGGGUGUAAGAUUCAGUCAGUACGCAGAUGGAGCCCUUCUUUGACUGUCAUGCCCAGGGGCGUUAGCUGGACUGUUAAUCAUCCGGGGCUGAGCCCAGAUUCUUCUCCAUCAAAAAAAAACUUUUUAAAACGUACUUCUAAAUACACUGUUUCCAUACAAUUUGUUUUUCUUGCAGGUAAGGGUUAAUUGCUUAAAAAUGUCAAAAUUGGACAAAAAGUUGGAUUUAUCAUAAAGCUUGCCUUGGGUGUUAAAACUUUCUGGCUAUCUAUGUAUUGAGACUAGGGUAGUUUGGUGUCCUUAGCCAAGAGGAGGCACAGCUAAGCUAUCAUUAUAUGGGUUUAGCUGCUACAGUGCCAUGCAAAGUACAUUAUCUGUCCUUAUGCUCUGCUCAUAUCAUGUUCACGUGUUCAACUGGAACUCAUAUAGACAUUUACACACCUUUUUUUCCUGCUCAGCACCAGAGGAUGUUAGUGUUUCACUUUCAACCACUUUACUGGUUAAAAAAUUAAAAAUUAAAUACAAAAAAAAUCUGCAUAUUUCC
ensembl:lncRNA